UACAGAGACUGCAAGCGUUAUUCGGAUUCACUGGGCGUAAAGGGUGCGCAGGCGGCCGAUUAAGUCAGAGGUGAAAGCCCGGGGCUCAACCCCGGAAAUGCCUUUGAAACUGGUAGGCUUGAAUGCAGGAGAGGGUCGCGGAAUUCUUGGUGUAGAGGUGAAAUUCGUAGAUAUCAGGAAGAACACCAGUGGCGAAAGCGGCGGCCUGGCCUGACAUUGACGCUCAUGCUCGAGAGCGUGGGGAGCAAACAGG
rnacentral:rRNA from 1 species